UGUUGCUGCCAAAAUUGAUAACAGAACUUCAUUUCCUAAUUGACUGAGACAAAUAAUAACCUAGGUAAUUUGCUUUACAUUCCCUAUCAUAACCAACAAGAGCUCCUUAGAUAAGCAGAAAUUAUCGUCAAUACUUGUAUUUCCUUCCAUGUUUAAACACAAACACUUUUUGUGUAUGUCACGUACUCACGUUUUCCAUCAUACAAA
rnacentral:misc_RNA from 1 species